rnacentral:rRNA from 1 species
GAUGAACGCUCGCUACAGGCUUAACACAUGCAAGUCGAGGGGAAACGGCAUUAAGUGCUUGCACUUUUUGGACGUCGACCGGCGCACGGGUGAGUAACGCGUAUCCAACCUUCCAAUGACUAAGGGAUAACCUGCCGAAAGGCAGACUAAUACCUUAUGGUCUUCACUGACGGCAUCAGAUGUGAAGUAAAGAUCUAUCGGUUAUGGAUGGGGAUGCGUCUGAUUAGCUUGUUGGCGGGGUAACGGCUCACCAAGGCAACGAUCAGUAGGGGUCCGGAGAGGAAGGUCCCCCAAAUUGGGACUGAGACACGGUCCAAACGCCUACGGGAGGCAGCAGUGAGGAAGAUGGGUCAGUGGGCGGGAGCGUGAACCAGCCAAGUAGCGUGCAGGAGGACGGCCCUGUGGGUUGUAAACUGCUUUUGUAUGGGGAUAAAGUCAAUCACGUGUGAUUGUUUGCAGGUACCAUACGAAUAAGGACCGGCUAAUUCGGUG